rnacentral:rRNA from 1 species
GAUGAACGCUGGCGGCGUGCCUAAUACAUGCAAGUCGAGCGAACAGAUAAGGAGCUUGCUCCUUUGACGUUAGCGGCGGACGGGUGAGUAACACGUGGGUAACCUACCUAUAAGACUGGGAUAACUUCGGGAAACCGGAGCUAAUACCGGAUAACAUUUGGAACCGCAUGGUUCUAAAGUGAAAGAUGGUUUUGCUAUCACGUAUAGAUGGACCCGCGCCGUAUUAGCUAGUUGGUAAGGUAACGGCUUACCAAGGCAACGAUACGUAGCCGACCUGAGAGGGUGAUCGGCCACACUGGAACUGAGACACGGUCCAGACUCCUACGGGAGGCAGCAGUAGGGAAUCUUCCGCAAUGGGCGAAAGCCUGACGGAGCAACGCCGCGUGAGUGAUGAAGGGUUUCGGCUCGUAAAACUCUGUUAUUAGGGAAGAACAAACGUGUAAGUAACUGUGCACGUCUUGACGGUACCUAAUCAGAAAGCCACGGCUAACUACGUG